UACAGAGGGGGCAAGCGUUGUUCGGAAUUACUGGGUGUAAAGGGCGCGUAGGCGGCCGCCUAAGUCAGACGUGAAAUCCCUCGGCUCAACCGGGGAACUGCGUCUGAUACUGGGUGGCUUGAAUCCGGGAGAGGGAUGCGGAAUUCCAGGUGUAGCGGUGAAAUGCGUAGAUAUCUGGAGGAACACCGGUGGCGAAGGCGGCUUCCUGGACCGUGGCUGACGCUGAGGCGCGAAAGCGUGGGGAGCGAUCCGG
rnacentral:rRNA from 1 species